AUUAAGAUCAGGUCACAAACUAAACAAAUAGAGAAUUAACAUAAUAAAUAAAAUCAUCCCUCCGGGGAGCUCUCUGUAAAUAUUCAGGUUAAUAUCAUAUAUGUGUUGUUCAUAAGUUUUAGUGAUUAUGUAUACUUUUGUAGGAUGGGUAGAAAACAUACUUAACAUAUUUGAAAGCUGAAACAAUGAGUAUUGGCAAAAGUCUUUAUUGUUAGAUUUGGAAUAGCAUUUUGCCUAUUUAUAAUAACCAGGGAAUACACUUUAUAACACAGAUUGUAAAAGUAGUUUAUAACUCCUUGAGAUUUUGUAAAGCAUUUGAUACCUCUCCAUCUAGAAUCAAUAGGCAAAGUAUAACACCAAGAUGGGAUUCUAAAGACACUGAAGUGGCCAGGUACACUGUUCAUUUUUCUUAAGAAAUCUUCAGCAGCAAGGAUUGGAUUUUGCAGGUUCAUGAGUGGAAGACAGAGCCUGAAACUCACCUGCGGGGGCCCUUUUCAAGUCUUCCUGAGUACUUGUCAGACAGAGCCUCGAACUCCUCGGCUCAAGGGGUCCUCCUGCCUCAGCCUCCUGAGUAGCUGGGACUACAGGUGUGUACCACUGUGCCCAGCUUCAUUAUAACCUUUUAAAGGUAGCAGUUAAGUUUCUUGAGGGUCAAGUCAUUCUCCCUCCCCCCAUCUCUUGUCCAAAUAUUCAAGAAAUAUUUACUCAGUGAUUUAGUAAUCUACAUUUAGUAAACUUACAUUUAGUAAGUUACAAAUAUAUUUAUUACUAAAUAUAGAUUACCAUUAAUAAAUAGUUCCUUGGUUUAGUAUGUUCUCUUAAAGUUUUCAGAAGCUAUUAAAUACUAUAAACAAAGUAUUAAAAUACUAUAAACUGUGUAUAAUGAGCACAGUUUUUAGACAACUUUUCAGUGAUCAAAACAGAUGAAAUGAAUAAGAAUGGACAAAUGUAGCAAAUUAAACCCAUAACAGUUUUAAAAAUUCUGGAUUAAACAACCCAAACAACUAAUGAAAUCAACUCCCCGUCAAAAGCACAUCUGGGAAUGCUUCUCCAAAAAAUAUUAUUGUAAUUGACUAAAAUUUAAUUUUUUAGUUGUCUUAUUAAAAAGUCUUUAAUUGAAAAUUAUCACUUAAAAAUCAAACUGGAUUUAAUGUACAAAGCAUAAUCUCCAAUAUCUACUGAAAAUAAAUUUUUAAAAAAAUCCCACAUUUCUGAUUUCUCUUUAAGAGAAAAAAAAAUUAAAAAAUUCCCCAAAGCUUAUCAGAUUUUUUGGGCCAAAUCAUCCAGAAAUCUAUCUAUAAAAGAUUCAGAGUAUAUUCAGGGCAUUAAAAUUACCCUACUCUGAAGUAGAAUAAACUAUUUCCUUAUCUUUUAAAAGCUUAGUUAUCAACACUGCUUAGAAUUACCAUCAGAGUGUCUGUAUUAAGAUUACCCUAAUCUGCAGUAGAAUAAACUAUUUCCUCGCCUUUUAAGAGCUUAGUUAUCAGUACUCCUUAGAAUCACCCUAAGAAUGGAAGGGCUUCAUCUAGGAUUUGAUAUUGUAAUCAAAUUUUCAAAUAAGACAAAUUAGUCCACAUAAAAAAGUAUAGCAGUAGGUACAGGCAACAGAAGCCAUGAACGCAUUCUCGAAGCUCGCCAAGGAAUUUUUCUCUAAAAUCAUCUUUAAGGAAAUAUCAAUUUAACUUCAAUAGCCUUGUUUAACGAAUCAAACUAUUUUUUUAAAUCUUAGAGUGACCUAAAAUCCCAAAAUUUCUCCACUGAGUUGGCAUACCAAUUCCUCAAUUUAUUUCAGCUGUUGUAAUCAUACACCUGAUAAUGCUUGAUUUGAAACUGGGUACAGUUUUUUAAGGUUUAGUUGAAUGAGGGAAUUUUUAAUUUAUCACAAUUUCCUGACUAAUAUGAAAACUGAUGGUAAGAAUGAAAAAUUCAAAUAAAAUAACAUAAACCUCUAAUUACGGCGUGCAGCGUUUGCAGUUACAAAAGCAACACUACAUUUUUCCCAUCAUAAGCGCUUUGUCAUCAAAACAGUAAACUAUACAAAUUGGAUUGCAACAAUUUCCACUGUUAUUGGUAAUUUUUUAAUAGGAACACUUUCCAUUAAUGCUUGAAAACUACGAACUACAUUUUAUUUUAUAUCUUGUCAAAUUAGUUGGAGAAUAUCUAUUGUAAAGCUGUCAGCACAUCUCUAACAUUACUUUGUCAGGAUCCACCUGCUCUAUGCUGCCCACUAUAGGAAAUGCAAUAUGGUAAUAAGAAAUGUAAUAGAAGGUUACUUUAGUACAAUCUCAUAAAAAACAUACUCUGACUCUACUUGGAUGCUAAAUGUGGUGUUUUUGCAAGAGAUACAGACUGAUUAGUGGCAAUCAAAUUUAUUAACUGUAAAGGACAUCAAUAAGAACAGACAGGACCAGAAAUUGUAUCUUGGUGAUCCACAUGCCAGGAGUAGCGCGGCAGAGGAUGGAGAGUGGAACUUAGCGAUUGAGGCGCAGCCUGCAGAAAGCUGCACUUCUGCACUAGAGAUUAAAUAAGAGGGUCAAAAUCAACAUAAACUAAACCCUUUUUCAAAGUCAUGUAAACACAAAUGAUUGCUGCAACUGGAAAACAACAUUGAAAAUAAAUGAUUCGUGUGAUGCAUAUCGAUUUCAACAAACCUUUCCUUAAACCUUUAACGUUACUCUUACAAGCAAAUACCGUUAAUAGCUUACUUCUGUCUUAAUUUUUCUAACCACAGGAAAAUUGAAACAUAAGUAAUCUGAUAAACAUCAAGUUUUACGUUGAUGCUUUUGACCACAGGGUAUAUACAGUGUUAAGAAUUUAAAUUCUAUCCAUCAGAUAUACUUUAGGACUCCAUUUUGAAGAUAGCCUCUUCUACAGAAAAGAAAUUUUUAAAAGUCAAUUCUCCAGUUUCUCAUCACAUCUUAAUUUUUUUAAAAAGGCUUUUAAACACUAGUAUCACUCCAAGUCUUUAGCCUUUGAUACUUGCUCUGAAAACACACUAUCGUAUGUUUGUGUAUGUACACACACACACACAACAGUGACUUAAAAGUGGCAACCGCCUCUUGAAAAGUAAAAAUAUGUCAUCCCUCCAUUCUGCCCUUAAAUGAGAAAUAAAGACAAUAGAUUUGCCCACUGCAGACUGGGAUACCAGAAAAGACGUUCUAAGUCUCGCCUGAGACAAUAUUAACCUGCUAUCUUAAGUCCCAACUUGGAUGACUUAAAUUUCAGUGUACGUGCCUCCGUUCCCACUCUUGCCCCAUCAGCUCCAUCAGCAUCGUCAUCCCCGGCUCGGAUCCCGGCCGCGACCCGCCAGGGCCGCCGGAGUCCGCGAAUACCGCCCGCUCCCAGCAACGAAGCUCCCCGGCUCCCGGCCGACCGCGAGUUCCUGGAGCAGCAGCCUCCAAGGUUCCCAAAGCCCACGAUUCAGGCGAGCGGUGCCGACCGGGCCGUGGACUGUGGCAUUUUAAAACUACAGAAGUCUCACUGCACGACUGGCGCGGCCGAGGUGGCCCAGGAGACCCUCCAAGAGAUUCUGGUCAGCUGCCGGGAGCGUGGAAGAGCAACCAAAGCCACCAAGGCGCCGCGCCAAGUCCCCGGAGCAGUCACCUCAGCUUUCCGUUCUCCCUCUAGUUACAAUUACUCCACAGGCUUCUGGCGCUUCCUUCGAGAAAAUGAAAAACUAAAAACGCGUAGAGGUGGUAGAAGUCGUUGGCAUUUUCCGUUUAAUGUGAUCCCCCAGGCUCCAUCCCUUAAGUGGGGUUUCCAAACUCGGAUGCAUCCUCAGCAGAGGUUUUCCAUGUUGACAGAUCUCUCGCCUCCCACAAAAUGGGGCCGGGGAGGCGGCCGCGGUCUCCUCUAUGGGCGCCGCCAUUUUGUGAGGCGGCGGCGGCGCGGCGGCAGGAGCCCGGGGUGUGUAUAAUGGUUGAAUAGAAUGACCCCCUCCAGGGAAUCCCCGGCACUGACGGUUACGUAAGGGGCUGUGCGCAAGUGCGGCGUUUAGGGAAUCCGCACAGCCCGGGCCACGCAGCUCCGAGGCCCACAUCUCCACUUCCCCUAAGAGGACCGAUGGGGGAAGGGACAGCUGACCGGGUCUUCCUCGCAGCAGCCUCACCCCUAGUCUUCCGCGGCCGGCGAGCUUCUCCACCUCCCCGGGCCGGGUCUCCGC
rnacentral:lncRNA from 10 species